UUAAAACAAGCUUUUAAGAGCAGAUGGCGGAUGCCUUGCCAAAGAGAGGCGAUGAAGGACGUACUAGACUGCGAUAAGCUAUGCGGAGCUGUCAAGGAGCUUUGAUGCGUAGAUGUCCGAAUGGGGCAACCCAACUAAUAGAGAUAUUAGUUACUCUAAUUUAGAGAGCGAACCUAGUGAAGUGAAACAUCUCAGUAACUAGAGGAAAAGAAAUCAACGAGAUUCCCUAAGUAGUGGCGAGCGAACGGGGAAAAGGGCAAACCGAGUGCUUGCAUUCGGGGUUGAGGACUGCAACAUCCAAGAGAACGCUUUAGCAGAGUUACCUGGAAAGGUAAGCCAUAGAAAGUGAUAGCCUUGUAUGCGACAAGGCGUUCUUAGGUAGCAGUAUCCAGAGUAGGCCAGGACACGAGAAAUCCAGGUUGAAGCCGGGGAGACCACUCUCCAACCCUAAAUACUACUCUUUGAGCGAUAGCGAACAAGUACCGUGAGGGAAAGGUGAAAAGAACCGCAGUGAGCGGAGUGAAAUAGAACCUGAAACCAUCUGCUUACAAUCAUUCAGAGCCCUAUGAUUUAUCAGGGUGAUGGACUGCCUUUUGCAUAAUGAUCCUGCGAGUUGUGGUAUCUGGCAAGGUUAAGCGAAUGCGAAGCCGUAGCGAAAGCGAGUCUUAAUAGGGCGACUAAGUCAGAUGCUGCAGACCCGAAGCUAAGUGAUCUAUCCAUGGCCAAGUUGAAACGCGUGUAAUAGCGCGUGGAGGACUGAACUCGUACCCAUUGAAACGGGUUGGGAUGAGCUGUGGAUAGGGGUGAAAGGCCAAACAAACUUAGUGAUAGCUGGUUCUCUUCGAAAUAUAUUUAGGUAUAGCCUCAAGUGAUAAUAAAAGGGGGUAGAGCCCUGAUUGGGCUAGGGCUGCUCGCCGCGGUACCAAACCCUAUCAAACUUCGAAUACCUUUUAUCGUAUCUUGGGAGUCAGGCGGUGGGUGAUAAAAUCAAUCGUCAAAAGGGGAACAACCCAGACUACCAAAUAAGGUCCCUAAGUUCUAUUCUGAGUGGAAAAAGAUGUGUGGCUACUCAAACAACCAGGAGGUUGGCUUAGAAGCAGCCAUCCUUUAAAGAAAGCGUAACAGCUCACUGGUCUAGUGGUCAUGCGCUGAAAAUAUAACGGGGCUAAGAUAGACACCGAAUUUGUAGAUUGUGUUAAACACAGUGGUAGAAGAGCGUUCAUACCAGCGUUGAAGGUAUACCGGUAAGGAGUGCUGGAGCGGUAUGAAGUGAGCAUGCAGGAAUGAGUAACGAUAAGAUAUAUGAGAAUUGUAUCCGCCGUAAAUCUAAGGUUUCCUACGCGAUGGUCGUCAUCGUAGGGUUAGUCGGGUCCUAAGCCGAGUCCGAAAGGGGUAGGUGAUGGCAAAUUGGUUAAUAUUCCAAUACCGACUAUGGAGCGUGAUGGGGGGACGCAUAGGGUUAAGCGAGCUAGCUGAUGGAAGCGCUAGUCUAAGGGCGUAGAUUGGAGGGAAGGCAAAUCCACCUCUGUAUUUGAAACCCAAACAGGCUCUUUGAGUCCUUUCAGGACAAAGGGAGAAUCGCUGAUACCGUCGUGCCAAGAAAAGCCUCUAAGCAUAUCCAUAGUCGUCCGUACCGCAAACCGACACAGGUAGAUGAGAUGAGUAUUCUAAGGCGCGUGAAAGAACUCUGGUUAAGGAACUCUGCAAACUAGCACCGUAAGUUCGCGAUAAGGUGUGCCGCAGCAAUGCGGUCUCAGCAAAGAGUCCCUCCCGACUGUUUACCAAAAACACAGCACUUUGCCAACUCGUAAGAGGAAGUAUAAGGUGUGACGCCUGCCCGGUGCUCGAAGGUUAAGAGGAUGCGUCAGUCGCAAGAUGAAGCGUUGAAUUGAAGCCCGAGUAAACGGCGG
rnacentral:rRNA from 1 species